UGAUCCUGGCUCAGAUUGAACGCUGGCGGCCAGGCCUAACACAUGCAAGUCGAGCGGAUGAAGGGAGCUUGCUCCUGGAUUCAGCGGCGGACGGGUGAGUAAUGCCUAGGAAUCUGCCUGGUAGUGGGGGAUAACGUCCGGAAACGGGCGCUAAUACCGCAUACGUCCUGAGGGAGAAAGUGGGGGAUCUUCGGACCUCACGCUAUCAGAUGAGCCUAGGUCGGAUUAGCUAGUUGGUGGGGUAAAGGCCUACCAAGGCGACGAUCCGUAACUGGUCUGAGAGGAUGAUCAGUCACACUGGAACUGAGACACGGUCCAGACUCCUACGGGAGGCAGCAGUGGGGAAUAUUGGACAAUGGGCGAAAGCCUGAUCCAGCCAUGCCGCGUGUGUGAAGAAGGUCUUCGGAUUGUAAAGCACUUUAAGUUGGGAGGAAGGGCAGUAAGUUAAUACCUUGCUGUUUUGACGUUACCAACAGAAUAAGCACCGGCUAACUUCGUGCCAGCAGCCGCGGUAAUACGAAGGGUGCAAGCGUUAAUCGGAAUUACUGGGCGUAAAGCGCGCGUAGGUGGUUCAGCAAGUUGGAUGUGAAAUCCCCGGGCUCAACCUGGGAACUGCAUCCAAAACUACUGAGCUAGAGUACGGUAGAGGGUGGUGGAAUUUCCUGUGUAGCGGUGAAAUGCGUAGAUAUAGGAAGGAACACCAGUGGCGAAGGCGACCACCUGGACUGAUACUGACACUGAGGUGCGAAAGCGUGGGGAGCAAACAGGAUUAGAUACCCUGGUAGUCCACGCCGUAAACGAUGUCGACUAGCCGUUGGGAUCCUUGAGAUCUUAGUGGCGCAGCUAACGCGAUAAGUCGACCGCCUGGGGAGUACGGCCGCAAGGUAAAACUCAAAGGAAUUGACGGC
rnacentral:rRNA from 1 species